GAGGGAGUUGAGGGUUCCUGGGAGGCACUUGGGGCUUGCUGAGGCCUUUGGGGAUCCCAGGCCGAGCGGCUCCGGCUGCGCUGGGAGACCCUGGGGGAGGUUCUGGGGCAGCUGCUCAAGGACCCCCUGAUCUGGAGCCCCAGCUGGGCAUUGGGCUCCUGGAAGGGGAUGAACAUCCUUGUCCCCAGGAGGGAAAUCCCAGCAUCCCCAGGCUGUUGGGAGCUGAAGGGUCACAGCAGGAAGGGGAAAGCCAGAGAGAGCUGUCCCCCUCCAAAACUGCCCCCAAAAAGUCCCAAAACUCAGGGGACUGGAAAAAGCAGCCAGGAGCCGCCAGAUGUGAGGGAAAGGGGGGAUGUGACCCCCCAGAUUGAGCAGGAGGGUCCUGGAUCCCCCAAGCACAGGGAUGAGAGGUGGAGCUGACAGCACGAUGGGAAAGGGGUGGGAGUGCAGGGGAAAAGAGGAUUCAGAGCAGGAGAGGGCUGGGACCCCCAGAUGGAGUUGGGAGGGGUCCUUGCUUGGGGGAAUGAUGGGAGAGGGGAGGGAAAGGGAUGGAACAGAAAAAAGCAUGGUUCCAUGGGGAUCCCAUUGUGUCCCCAUCACUUGAUCCCUGGUGUGAUUCCCUGGAGCUCUGGGGGGGAAUGGAUCUGCACUGGGUGGGUUCCCAAGCCCCCUGCCCAUCCCUGGGGGGCUCAUGGGAGGUUCCCUGGUUCCCUCCACCCAAAUGCUGCAGUUGUGGGAGAGAGAUGGGUGUGAAAGGGGGAUGUGCAGUGGGCAGGGAGGAGGAGCAAUAGGAAAGAGCAGGCGGAGGGUGGGAAAAUGAAGAGCAGGAAAAGGAAGAGGAGGAGCUGCAGCAGAACCACAAGGUUUUCCUGCCCGCCUGCUGAGUCUGCAGCUCCUCUGGCCCUGGCAGCAUCGAUCCCCCCAGAUCUCACAGCCAGGAUUUGUCAAUCCCAACCUUUGUCUGGAUGGAGCUGGAGGACACUGCGAGGAUAAGGAAGAUGGUGUGGGACACUGAGGAGGCACUGAGCUGCAGACGGAGACCAGGGAGAGCAAGUCCCUGUGGCACAAGCUCAUGGAAGAGACCGUUUUGAGCAGCUCCAUGGCACAGGAAUCCAGUGGGGAGGAAAAACCCUGGAGAUCUUUCCUAGGGUGACGUUAGGAUGCUGUUAUCCCCAUUCGUGUGUGUAAUUUAUGCUGGAUAUUAUGUUCUGUGCCUUUAAGAUUGGCUCUGCAGAAUGAAAGUUUUUUUUUGGGCCUCUUAUCAGCCACUUGGCGGGACAUACAGAUAGUACAGUACAUAGUGCUGCUUUUUUGCUUUUUGCCCUGCUUUUCACUUUGCUCUUGCUUCUGCUCUUGCUUCUGCUUGCUCUUGCUUCUUUCCUCUGCUCAUUAGUUAAUUUAGCUAAACAGUCCAAAUUCCUUCCUGGACUGUUUCCCCUUUCCUGUUUGGACCUACUGGACCUGCUCCGGACUGGGACCUGAGAAACACUGAGAGAGAGUUUGCAUCUUGUGGCUGCAGCAGCUGCCCCAGCGCCGGAGGGACUGAUAAACAGAGCAACCCCCCAGGAGAGACUUUCUGAAUUUGUCAUCUUUUUCAGAGUGGUGAAAGAGUGGUGUCAUCUGGUAUUGUUCAUUUUGUGUGCUGGGGGGUGCUGUGCCUGUUAAAUAAACAGGUUCUUUCCACUUCUCUCUGAGGAAUUCUUCCCAAACCGGUUGGGGGGAGGGGCCAUGUUGGUUUGCUUUCUGGAGAGGCCCCUUUUUGCGGCUUCUCUCCCAAAUUUGCCCUAAACCAGGACAAAAUCCCUCACAAGGAGGAGCUGCAAACCCGGGAGCUGUGAGGAGGAAAGAUGCUUCCUGUGCCAGGAAGGCAGAUGGAGAUCCAUUCGGAACUCAGAGGUCAUGGACACGACUCAUGGUGGGCAGAAACCCCACAAGUGCUUGGAAUAUGGGAAUGGCUUCAGCCGGAGCUCUGGAGCUCAGACCUGACCAGCACCAGGUGAUCCACAUGGGGAAAUGGCCCUACAAAUGUGGGGAGCGUGGGAAGGGCUUUGGGCAGGGCUCCAACCUCAUCAAUCACUGCAAGAUCCACACCAGGGAGAGGCCCUACGAGUGUCCCAAGUGUAGGAAGUGGUUUCUGAGCAGCUCCUAUCUCAUCAUCAUGAGUCAAGGGGUCAGCUAGAAAUGUAUUUACAAUAACUGAAAAGUGUGGAUGAGUUGAGGGGCCAGCUGGGAAUAUAAUUGAGAUAGUAGAAGAUGACAUAUUUUAGUUAAGCUUUUAAAAUUAGUUAAGAAGCUAAGUUAGCUAGCAAAAAUCACAUACCUUAGUGAAAGAGUAACAAACAUUAGAAAAGUAAAGCUGGGAGUGACAGGGAUAGAUGUAGCAAUUCUGCAGAAACAGAGACCAUAGAAAUACCUUGCCUUAAGAAUAAUUGAACAGUUAGGAGAGGCUUGGACUGUGACCAGCAGAUCAAAACUGCAAAUUGGCCAUGGGUGAAGAGUUUACCAUGAGGCAGACAGCUUUCUUCCUCCCAUAUGCCCACUCCCUUAUUUCAAAAUCCCACUGACCCAAAUAAGGGAGUGCAAUUGCGCAGCCAUAUUAGGUAUUCAGCUGAUUAUAAUACAAAGUGGGCAGGUAAUGAUUCUGUAUUCUGCCUCCUUAGAAACCACUUGGAUAUGUAAAACCUUUUCUGUAUAAAUAGAGAGCAGGAGUCUGCCACUCCUUGCACAUGCUUUUGGAAAUGAUUCCUCAUGUGUCCAGUGCUGAAAUAAAACAGCCUUCUUUUGAACUUUAA